CCCACGUGCAUCUCCUGCCCCAGAGUUCCCUCCACCUCCACAUGCAUCUCCUUCCCUAGAGAUCCCUCCACAUACUGCUCAUGCAGUUUCUGACCUAGAUAUCUCUCUACCCACUACUCCUGCAUCUUUUCACCCCGAGAUCCCUUCACACACCUCACAUACAUUUUUUGAUCCUGCUCAUCUUUCAUUUACUCCACCAUCCUUUGAUCUCGGCCCUGAUUUCAAUCAAACCCCUCCUGUCAUGCACAUGCAAUCCCCAUCGUACAACAUUGGUCAUAUAGACCAUGUACCGCCCCAUAGUCACUCCAUGUCAUUCAUGCCCACUCCUAGACUGCAUAUAGAUCCCAUGAGUACGGGCACUCACAUUUCAUUUGCUACACCAUCCUCCCCCGCAGUUGUUGGGAGUCAAGCAAAACAACCAGCUGUGCAUGUUGAGAAUGAGCAGGUUGUUGGGUUACAGUCACCCCCACAAGGUCGACCUAAACGUACAAUGAAAGCACCUCCUUGUGGGACAGGUGGUCACAAAGCAGGACACAACGCUGGCCCCACGCAACGUGAGGAGCCUCACGAAGGAGAUGCAGUACCCCCUCCCCCACAUACCAGACACUAUACGAGACAGCAUAAGCGUAAAAUGCAUUAGGAUUAGCAUCCCAUAGAGAAACAAAGGAGGACACUCGAGAAUUGGAGUUUCUGACCCUAAGUGAUGAUCAGCACUUAGCUUAGAAAACACCUCACUCUUUCUAGGUUGGACCUGAAAAUGCUUCACAGGUUUGUCCAGCCCCGUACUGAAUGAAGGGGAGCUUGAGUCCUUGCUAAAUGAUCCCUCUUUGAAACCUCAAGUUUUGCCAACAUUUUUUGAUAUUCGUA